rnacentral:misc_RNA from 1 species
GAAAUGCGAUAAGUAAUGUGAAUUGCAGAAUUCAGUGAAUCAUCGAAUCUUUGAACGCACAUUGCGCCCGCCAGUAUUCUGGCGGGCAUGCCUGUUCGAGCGUCAUUUCAACCACUCAGGCCCUGGUGCCUGGCGUCGGGGUUUCUUGCUUCGGUAAAAUCCCCUAGAAUCAGUGGCGGACCCGCCGCGGCUCCGAGCGUAGUAGUAAAAUAUCUCGCUAUGGAGGUCCGUGGGGGGAUUACCGGCCGUAAAACCUCUUCUUGACUGAAGAACUUCUCAAGGUUGACCUCGGAUCAGGUAGGAAUACCCGCUGAACUUAA